AGAAAGAAAAUCCACAACAAUAACAAGAGGAAGAGAAUAGUGAAAGAAAUGUAGCCGUGUUAGUCUGGUGUAGCUGAAACAAAAUACAGGACUAUGAGAAAGCACUCACUUAAGACAUCCUCUGCAUGCAGGAAGACCAUUGAGAAAUACUAAAGGGAGUGUCCUGAAGAAAAGCUCAACAUGAGAAGGGUGCUGAGAUAAGAAAGAAACAUAGCAGUGGAGAUGCCAGCUUCAAAUAUGACUGUUCUCCAGAAAAAAAAGUGGAGGAGAUCCAAUCUGAAGAUGAACUGUGGAAUUCCCUUAUCCAUAAGCUAAGUGGAGUCUAUUUGAUUUUUAGGGCCAAGAUUUUGUGCAGUUUUGCUAGUCUUUGCCAAUCAAUGUUGUCUUAGAAUCAUAGAACUGGAAGGGAUAGGAACAAGCAUCAUUUAGACCCGUGUUCACCAAUCAGUAGAUCAUGAUCUACCGGUA